GCUACAUCAUAAGCUUACCAGCACGGAGGGAUAGCAUGUAUCGUUGAACGUGGAAGAACACACCUUCAUUUGUGUUAAUGAAGAAAACUACUGAAAACCAACAGACUAAUUAAGGGUAACGAUGAACAAUUUUGAUCAGCAAUUAUUUUUUAAUAUCGAAGUUCGCUCCUGGAAAGAGUAGAAUGGGGAAGUUCAUCUUCCAGCUUUCUACCCAGAAAAGUAGUGAGAGAGAGAUCCUGCUUCAUUUCCAAUUCUUCUCCCACAAACUGUUUUAACAUAUAAUUUAAUCGAUGCCUUUAUUUCAAAAGAAAAAAAUAAUUAUAGAGCUUGUUGGGAUCAUUUUCUGAAGAGAGGACAUUAUGCGUGCAUGAAUUCCAUCGGUGAUCUGAGGAGGAGCAGGCUGCUUGGACCAUUACCCAUCAUUGUCGAACAGCAGAGUAAUUAAUUGGGCAAAUACGUCUAGAUCUGGUGAAUUCACAUGCACAGUAACUGGGCAGCAGCAACACACACUCUUUUACUGUGAAUAAAAUAGCAAUAGUUUUAUGUGCCUUUGUG
rnacentral:lncRNA from 1 species